CUCGUAGGCGGCCAACUAAGUCAGACGUGAAAUCCCUAGGCUCAACCUAGGAACUGCGUCUGAUACUGGAUGGCUUGAAUCCGGGAGAGGGAUGCAGAAUUCCAGGUGUAGCGGUGAAAUGCGUAGAUAUCUGGAGGAAUACCGGUGGCGAAGGCGGCAUCCUGGACCGGCAUUGACGCUGAGGAGCGAAAGCCGAGGGGAGACGAAACG
rnacentral:rRNA from 1 species